rnacentral:ncRNA from 1 species
UCUUAUCAAGAGAAGCAGAGGGACUGGCCCAAUGAAGCUUCAGCAACCAACUUUCAAGUAAGGUGCUAAAUCCAGCAGGCGAAAAGCCGGAAGAUAAGG